CCCAGAGGGAGCUGAAACUGAAGGCAUCUGAGCAAGGAGGGCCCUUUAGGCCAAGCUGUGAGAUGUUAAGUGGGGAACGCAAUGCUUCUACUUCAAAGGCAGUAGCAACCUUUCGACAGAUCUCGGGCAACCUCCUUCACAGUGCCUCUCUGGUGUGUAGAAACUGUGCCGUUAACCUUUCCACUUCAGCCUAAAGCUACUUAAAAAUCCUGAGCUUCCCCAACUGCAGCCCUGUAUCCCGGUCCUGGACUCAUCUGGAUUCACAGACUGACCAGCUUGCCAGGCCCGCUUCUUCUUUUCAUUGAGUGAAUUUCAUCUCCCCGAGCCUCAGUUUCUCAUCCGUACAAUGGGAUGAAAAUACAACCCACCACAAGAUUAUUGUCUGGAAGAUGGAAGAUGUGGUAUGUAAAGCGCUUUGCAUAGUGUCUGCCGGGGGACUGUGUGAUAAAUGUCAGCUCAGGGGCUGAAGUGUCACCUGCAGAUUACUGCCAGGGAGACCACAUGACACCAGGCGCCAAGAGAGGAAGUUGCCAUCCUCUGUGGUAGAUGCCUUGCAGCUGGUUUGCCUGCCCCAGCCUGGCCCUCAUCUCCCUCAGACUUUCUGAUUGUUGAUUCGUUGCAAACUCUUUGAAAAUUUGACCUGGGCUGAGAAUAGAGUCUACAUAUUCUCACCAAAAAAAAAAAAAGGGUCCUCGGACUAGGAAGGUGAUGGGAAGAGCAUGGUACACGGAGGACUCCAUGAGAGAAAGUAAAGCACGCCACCUCAGAGGCCACAGGUUCUUGUGCUGGCUCACCACUAAUCCGGGAAAAAUGGGUCCACCUUUCUGGUUGUCUGUUGUAUCAUCUGUAAAACCACUGAGAAAGCGAACUCUCCCCAGUGAGACGACUUCUUUGAAAACACGAAUGUACUAGCAGGGACAGAUUCAGGUUUUGAGAGACCUGAAGUUGAAAUCAUUGGGGACCUCUCUUUAAGGACAAGAAUACAAAAUUGGAUGAGGUAGUAAAAAUAUAUAAGGAGACAAGAAAUCCAAC
rnacentral:lncRNA from 1 species